GGCCCCAUGGUGCAACUGGAUAGCAUGCCGGUUUCCGGAGCCGUUGAUGUGGGUUCGAGUCCCGCUGGGGCUA
rnacentral:tRNA from 1 species